GCCGGAAUGGCGGAAUCGGCAGACGCACGGGACUUAAAAUCCCGGGUUGGCAACAGCGUGCGGGUUCAAGUCCCGCUUCCGGCACCA
rnacentral:tRNA from 1 species